rnacentral:rRNA from 1 species
GACGAACGCUGGCGGCGUGCUUAACACAUGCAAGUCGAGCGGAAAGGCCCUUUCGGGGGUACUCGAGCGGCGAACGGGUGAGUAACACGUGAGUAAUCUGCCCCUGGCUUUGGGAUAGCCACCGGAAACGGUGAUUAAUACCGGAUACGACCACUUCUCGCAUGGGCUGGUGGUGGAAAGUUUUUCGGCCAGGGAUGUGCUCGCGGCCUAUCAGCUUGAUGGUGAGGUAAUGGCUCACCAUGGCUUCGACGGGUAGCCGGCCUGAGAGGGUGACCGGUCACACUGGGACUGAGACACGGCCCAGACUCCUACGGGAGGCAGCAGUGGGGAAUAUUGGGCAAUGGGCGGAAGCCUGAUCCAGCAACGCCGCGUGAGGGAUGACGGCCUUCGGGUUGUAAACCUCUUUCAGCAGGGACGAAGCGCAAGUGACGGUACCUGCAGAAGAAGCACCGGCCAACUACGUGCCAGCAGCCGCCAAUA